CCUACGGGUGGCAGCAGUCGAGAAUCAUUCACAAUGGGGGAAACCCUGAUGGUGCGACGCCGCGUGGGGGAAUGAAGGUCUUCGGAUUGUAAACCCCUGUCAUGUGGGAGCAAAUUAAAAAGAUAGUACCACAAGAGGAAGAGACGGCUAACUCUGUGCCAGCAGCCGCGGUAAUACAGAGGUCUCAAGCGUUGUUCGGAAUCACUGGGCGUAAGGCGUGCGUAGGCUGUUUCGAAAGUCGUGUGUGAAAGGCGCGGGCUCAACCCGCGGACGGCACAUGAUACUGCGAGGCUAGAGUAAUGGAGGGGGAAGCGGAAUUCUCGGUGUAGCAGUGAAAUGCGUAGAUAUCGAGAGGAACACUCGUGGCGAAGGCGGGUUCCUGGACAUUAACUGACGCUGAGGCACGAAGGCCAGGGGAGCGAAAGGGAUUAGAUACCCCUGUAGUC
rnacentral:rRNA from 1 species